CCUACGGGUGGCAGCAGUAGGGAAUCUUCCACAAUGGGCGAAAGCCUGAUGGAGCAACGCCGCGUGGAUGAAGAAGGUCUUCGGAUCGUAAAACCCUGUUGUUAGAGAAGAAAGUGCGUGAGAGUAACUGUUCACGUUUCGACGGUAUCUAACCAGAAAGCCACGGCUAAUUACGUGCCAGAAGCCGCGGUAAUUCGUGGGAGGCAAGCGUUAUCCGGAUUUAUUGGGCGUAAAGGGAACGCAGGCGGUUUUUUAAGUCUGAUGUGAUAGCCUUGGGCUUAACCGGUGGAUUGCAUUGGAAACUGGGGGACUUGAGGGCAGAAGAGGAGAGUGGAAUGCCAGGUGUAGCGGUGAAAUGCGUAGAUAUAUGGAAGAACACCAGUGGCGAAGGCGGCUCACUGGUCUGUAACUGACGCUGAGGUUCGAAAGCGUGGGUAGCAAACAGGAUUAGAUACCCGAGUAGUC
rnacentral:rRNA from 1 species